GUUCAAGUUCACCAGGGUGAGCUCAGGGGAGGGCCUCAUUGAGCUUUAGAACAGGGAGGGGCAGCAUAACUGAACCUUCCAGUUUCGCAGUAUUCAGACGUUUUGGUUUGGUGCAUUCUUAUGUAGUUCAUCCCUCUCUUCUCCGUCAAGGCGACUCUGGAGAGAACCACCCUCCUCCGACUCAGAUCUCAAAUCUCAAACAUUCCAAAGAUCCUGUUAUCUGGAACUACAACACUGUUUACUCACAGCAGCAGCUGAGGUUACAAUGGCCAACUGUGAUGAUACGCUGUGCCAUGGGCACGGCAAGUGUGUGACCUUUGGUGGAAACACCACCUGUGACUGCCAGCUGGGCUACAGUGGGGUUUUCUGCGAGGGCACGCUCAACCAGGCCAUGUCUGUGACACUGGUACUAGGGACCCUUGCCAUUAUAUUUGGUGUCAUCAUCCUAGCUGCACUUUUUGCCUUUAUUAAACAGAAGCAGUUUACAAGGAAAGCUGAAGCAAGAGAUGUUUCCUCGUUUUAA
rnacentral:lncRNA from 1 species